GGGAGUUUGGCCGAGUGGUUAAGGCGUCAGAUCCAGGUUCUGAUAUCUACGGAUGCAAGGGUUCGAACCCCUUAGCUCUCA
rnacentral:tRNA from 2 species